UGAGGGGCCUUGGAAAAAGGUAAUCUGUCGAGGCACAGCUUAAAUACAAGGUACGUAUGCGUUGCUGGAUAUGGUGCGCCAGAGAGAUCUUUUGGCUCACAGGAUUCGUUCGUUCGGGCGGAUCCUGACCUUUUUUCCAGUCGCAGUGAAAGAAAAAGCAAAACUCUAUACGCUCUCAUAGGCCGAAAGUUUUCCUUUCUCGAAACUAGCACGUUUUUUUUCUCCUGAUGGUUCUUGCAGGUAGAUAUACUAGUACCAAUGCCAAUGUAGAAGAUUUCAUCAGGUACUCGGCACCACUUGAAUUGCCGUGCUGAAGCAACGAGAGACUAUCCGUUCGUGGUAACAUGGUGCUGUUUUCCUGUGCUCGUGGAACCAAGUCCAGAUUCAAGCAAAUGCAAAUGCGCACCGGCGAGACAUAACAUUAAACAAGGAGGAGCGUUUCGUUGCGCGGCCUUGGACAGUUUUUUAACUCACACGACACAGGCAAGCCAGCCACAGUUGUGUGAAUUGAUCCCAUCGCAGACAUUCCUCCUCCGACGUUGCGAACGUGGUGCUGCUAAGGAAUCUGAGAGAGGGGGGUAUUUAUAUUGUUUCUUCUCCGGGUCUCGGGAAUCAAGCUAAAGGUAAAGAACAGUCCGGCUCUUCCAGAUCUCCAGAGACUCCGCUCAGUCAAAUUUAUGAUUUGGAGAGCGAGCAAAGAUGAUUUUCUCGAUUGUGGAAG